UUUUAACCGCCUCUACAACCCUUAUCCGACCCCUCUAGACUAUAUCCACCCUUUAUAUAGCCUAAUGUCAUCAAAAGACUAGAUAGGGACGGAUAUUUACCUUUUUCUUUUUGAAAAUCGAGGUCCUUGCAUAGAGGGGAAGGAGAUCUACACUUUUUCCUUCAGCUGGCAGCGCAACCGGGAUUUCUUUCCUCUUCCUUUCUUCCUUUCCUUUCCUCUUCCUUUCUUCCUUUCCUUUCCUCUCCUUCUUUUUCUUCCUCUCUGUCCGUCUGAGACUCCCUCUGUGACUCUCACUCGGUUUCCAUCCAAAAGCCACAGCAAACCUCCUAAUUAAAUCACAUCAAAACACUAUUCACCCUUUGUUUAAUAUUAUUAAAUUCUCAUUUUGCCCCUAACACUUCAACAUAUCUACCGUUAUG
rnacentral:lncRNA from 1 species